rnacentral:rRNA from 1 species
AACGCGGUUGGACGACACCGUUCGACGAUGCGUAGGGUCUGAGAAGGAAGCCCCCACAUGUACUGAGACACGAACAGACUCCUACGGGAGGCAGCAGUGAGGAUAUGUCAUGCCGAAGCUGACCAGCAAGCGCGUGAGGGAGAAGGCGCAGAGCGUCGCAGACCUCUUUUGCCGGGGGACAAAAGGCCGGACGGGUCCGGUUCUGAGGGUACCCGGAGAAAAAGCAUCGGCUAACUCCGUGCCAGCAGCCGCGGUAAUACGGAGGAUGCGAGCGUUAUCCGGAUUCAUUGGGUUUAAAGGGUGCGCAGGCGGGCCUUUAAGCCGGCGGUGAAAUCGCGGGGCUCAACCCCGCCGAGCCGUCGGAACUGGGGGCCUUGAGUGCGGCGGAGGCAUGCGGAAUGCGCGGUGUAGCGGUGAAAUGCAUAGAUAUCGCGCAGAACCCCGAUUGCGAAGGCAGCGUGCCGUGCCGCCACUGACGCUGAGGCACGAAAGCGCGGGGAUCGAACAGGAUUAGAUACCCUGGUAGUCCGCGCCGUAAACGAUGGAUGCUGGGUGUCCGGGGCGUUCAGGCCCUGGGUGCCGGAGCGAAAGCGGUAAGCAUCCCACCUGGGGAGUACGCCGGCAACGGUGAAACUCAAAGGAAUUGACGGGGGCCCGCACAAGCGGAGGAACAUGUGGUUUAAUUCGAUGAUACGCGAGGAACCUUACCCGGGCUCAAACGGGGGGCGCGGGCGGCAGAGACGCCGCCGUCCUUAUGGACGUCCCCCGAGGUGCUGCAUGGUUGUCGUCAGCUCGUGCCGUGAGGUGUCGGAUUAAGUUCCAUAACGAGCGCAACCCCCGCGCGCAGUUGCUAACGGGUCAGGCCGAGGACUCUGCGCGAAUCCACCACAGUGACGAGAGG